rnacentral:lncRNA from 7 species
UCUCGGAUUGCAUCGUCCCGGCUCUGUUUGUAGUAGCCUAGUAGGUUACCAUAAGCACACGUACACCACGGCUAGUCGGCUAGUAGCAUGUACGCCGUCGUCUUUACAGGUGCACGACUCGACAUGCCCCCAAAACCCAACGGGGGCCGGUUGCCAAUUUCCAUUGCCACGCACGCACGGGACCGGAUCGUCGUACCGGACAUCGUCACAUCGAUCGGAGGCACAUCACCCCGGGUCCGUCCGACCUGCACAUCAGCAGGUACGUCCAGCGUCGCGGCGCAUGCAGCAGAUAAUGCCUUCAAUCGCACGUACCGAACCUACCAACCAAACAAGCGCAUAACUAAUCGGACCGCGACGGUCGAGCACAGAUUCUGAUGCGAUCCGUCUCUCGCUGGCCCCACCGAGAACGAACUGGAUUGCCACCGCUAAACGAAAAGCC